rfam:Picea glauca, whole genome shotgun sequence.
GUACUUUCAUAUAGCAUAGUGUUAAUGCAUCGAAUCCCAUUAAAACUUCGCAGUUAAGUGCGCUCGGGCUAGAGUAGCACUAGGAUGGGUGACCACCCUGGAAGUCCUAUUGUUUUACGUGCC